GGGGGCAUAGCUCAGUGGUUAGAGCAGUCGGCUCAUAACUGAUUGGUCCUUGGUUCAAGUCCAAGUGCCCCCACCA
rnacentral:tRNA from 1 species